rnacentral:rRNA from 1 species
GAUGAACGCUGGCGGCGUGCCUAAUACAUGCAAGUCGAACGGACAGGCGCGGCGUUUGCUCCUCUCUCGUUAGCCGCGCACGUGUGAAAAACACGUGUAUCACCUCCCUAUCUUACUGAUAUCUCUUCGAAACACCGGAUCUAAUCCCGGAUAAUCUAUUGAACCGCGGGGUUCGAUAGUGAGAGACGGUUUUGCUGUCACUUCUAGCUGCUUCCGCGCCGCAUUAGCUGGUUGGUAAGGUAACGGCCUACCAAGGCAACGCUGCGUAGGCGACGGGAGGGGGUGAUAGGCCACACUGGAACUGGGACACGGUCCAGACGCCUACGGGAGGCAGCAGUAGGGAAUCGGCCGCAACGGGCGAAAGCCUGGCGGAGCAACGCCGAGUGAGUGAUGAAGGUCCUCGGAUCGUAAAACCCUGUUAUUAGUGAAGAACAAAUGUGGAAGUUACUAUGGACGGCGUGACGGUACUGAAUCAGAAAGCAACGGCUAACUACGUG